CUUUCGUUCGGUGGUUUUUUUCUAAUUGCAUGUUAUUAACUUUUCGUUGUUUUUUUUGGUGAUGGCUUUGACUGAUCGUUGUCACUCUCUUACUCAUGUUGCUCUUCUAGGCUUUGGUUUCUAAAUUGAGUCAUUCAAGGCUUUGUUUAUUAUGUUCAUGCGAUUUUUAACUCUUCUUGGCUCUGUAGGGACCUGAGACGAAGUGGAGUUGACAAGUGGGGAACAUCACUGUUGAUAUGGGAAUACGCUUUAGGGAAAUGUCGAUUCCUGAAUGCCAGAAAACUUUUACCUUCUGCUCAAUCUAGAGUAGAGCCCUUACCUGAGGGUCCUCUGUGGCUGCCGUUAACUGCAAAGGUACCAAGCAAAGAGCAAGUUCAGGCGCAGUUAAAAGAGUUGGCUCAUCGUGCGGGUGUUCCAGAGAGUUGUAAUGGUGGCGAUGAGAGAAGAGAGCAGACAUAAACCUCAACAGGUUCCAAGCAAUUUAUGGCCAAGACGAAGUGGAAUUGAUAAUGGUGAUGGCUUUUCUUUUCGUGUUCUCGUAGUGUCACCACGUUGAUAUAUGCUGACAUCCUUAUUCGUGGUUAUGCUGGUUGGAAUUCUAGGUUUGCCUUGAAGGUCUUAGACCAAGUCUUCCCAAAGGUACACUCUAGUAGUCUUCUCUUGAUCAAUUGAUGAUGGAUCUUUUUGGUCUGUUCUUGGCUACAGCUUCAGAUCAUCAUGAGGAACCAGGAUUACUGUGUGGGAGGUUCGAAGAGAAAGAAAAAUCAUUGUGGGAGACUGGGAGUGUGUUUGAUUUCUAAGUUUAACUUUCAGGAUCCAUUAGUUGAUGAGACGUUGUCGUUUUGGAGAGGACUUUAGGAGUGACGACUGAGGAGUGAGGAGUGAGGAGUGAGAGACUGCUCUGAGCAAAGUGCAAGGCGCUGUCAAAAGACUUGUCUCAUCAUGCGGCUGUGCCAGGAUGUACAAGGAUGGUAGCAUCAUUCCAUUAGAUGAUUCUUUAGGCUAUGCUGCAAUUUUUUCACACAUGAGCUCCUCAGAUGAAAGAGCUCAUGAGGCUUUAUCUCACCGUCCACAGGCUACGAGCCAGUCAACACUGCAGCCAAGCAAUGGCCCCUAUCUUGAAGGAGAUUCUGCCACGAUCCAAGUUUACUAGGAAGUAGCUGGAUUAACAGAUAUUGAGCCUGUUCGCACAAGCCACUUUCUCUGGAGCUUGGACCAGGAGGCCAUUGAAGAACUAUUACCAGAAUAUCCGGUCCCGUGAUGUGUACAUCCCUCAGGGUGUUUCUGUCCCAGCUCUUGACAAAGAUUGUCCUUGGGGACUAGUUCCCAGCCCAAUCAGCUAUGUCGAGGGAGACACAAUAAUUGCUGGUGUAUGCUGUACGUUUAUUAAUUGGUCUCCUCCUUAAUCUGAUUUUACAUAGUUACUUUGGUGUUGAGUGAGAGAGAGAUACAGAGAUCAAGAUGAUAAAUAGAUUGUUCUAAUGGCUACGAGAGAGCAAGAUGAUGAUGGUCUUGGACUCCACAGAUCCAUGAAUUGUAUGGAGAACUAGGGUUCCUGGGGCUUCGAACCUCAAUGUCUUGGACUCCACAGAUCCAUGAAUUGUAUGGAGAAUUAGGGUUUAUGGAGGUUCGAACCUCAAUGCCUUGGGUUCCUUAUUCCAGAUAGAGUAUCUAUCUAUGGGUCCAAUAUUACUCGGCUAGGGUUCCGAGCCAGCCAAGCAAUGACCACUAUCUUGGAGGAGAUUUCUGCCACGAUCCAAGAAGAUGAUCGUUGUGGCUUGAAACGACAGUGUUUUGAAAAUUCUAGGAAUUGUGCUUUUAGUGUUAGUUGGCGGCCCAUAUUCUUCUUCAUCCUUCCCCUUAGUCUGAAAUCAAAACGAAACAGAGAGGAGUCAGGACUGAGCUUUGGUAUUGAUU